rnacentral:rRNA from 1 species
AGGUGAACCUGCGGAAGGAUCAUUAAAGAUUGACCCUCUGUCGAGCUUGCUCACAGGCACAUCAUAUCCAUAACACCUGUGCACUUGUCGGAUGGCUUAGUGAAGACCCCAAGGUUGGAUCUAUCCAUCUACUUUACAUAACAAAUCUGUAACAAAAGUAGUCUUAUUAUAACAUAAAAAAACUUUCAACAACGGAUCUCUUGGCUCUCGCAUCGAUGAAGAACGCAGCGAAAAGCGAUAAGUAAAGUGAAAUGCAGAAAUCAGUGAAACAUCGAAACUUUGAACGCACCUUGCGCUCCUUGGUAUUCCCAGGAGCAUGCCUGUUUGAGUGUCAUGAAAACCCUCAACCCUAGAUUGGUUAAAACCUUUCUUUGGUUUGGAUUUGGACGUUUGCCCAUGAUAAGUCGGCUCGUCUUAAAAGUAAAAGCUGGAUCUGUCUCGCGACAUGGUUUGACUUGGCGUAAAAAGUAUUUCGCUAAGGACAUCUUCGGAUGGCCCCGUUGCAGGACUAAAGACCCCUUUCGAAACCAUUGAUCUUCGGAUUAAAACUCUUGACAUCUGGCCUCAAAACAGGUAGGACUACCCCCUGAACUUAAGCAUAU